UACGUAGGUGGCAAGCGUUAUCCGGAAUUACUGGGCGUAAAGCGCACGCAGGCGGUCUUUUAAGUUCGACGUGAAAGCUCCCGGCUUAACUGGGAGAGGUCGUUGAAGACUGGAAGACUUGUGGCAAUGAGAGGGGUGUAGAAUUCCCGGUGUAGUGGUGGAAUGCGUAGAUAUCGGGGGGAAUACCAGUGGCGAAAGCGGCACCCUAGCGUUAGCCUGACGCUCAUGUGCGAAAGCGUGGGGAGCGAACGGG
rnacentral:rRNA from 1 species